UACGUAGGGUGCAAGCGUUGUCCGGAAUUAUUGGGCGUAAAGAGCUCGUAGGCGGUCUGUCGCGUCGGCUGUGAAAACCUGGGGCUUAACUCCGGGCCUGCAGCCGAUACGGGCAGACUAGAGUUCGGCAGGGGGAGACUGGAAUUCCUGGUGUAGCGGUGAAAUGCGCAGAUAUCAGGAGGAACACCGGUGGCGAAGGCGGGUCUCUGGGCCGAAACUGACGCUGAGGAGCGAAAGCGUGGGGAGCAAACAGG
rnacentral:rRNA from 1 species